CGCGCGUGUGUUCCUUCUUUCCACUCCUGAUCUCCUCCAUCCACCCCCGCGGCCCCGAGCCAUCUCAGGAAAAUGCCAGACUCUGCCUCCCCUGUACAACUCUGGGGGCGCGCCCACGGACCUCCUUUCCGUCCACGCACCUGCCCGCCGGACGUCCAACCAUUUUGUGGAGCGCAAAACUGAGACCUGGAAGCUCUUCCCCCAUCCCAGAGACUAAGGACUUGAAAAGAACGUGAUCACGAUACCCUUACCCCACCUUACCGAAUUGAGAAUAAUUCCCUCUUCUCCACUUUCUGGAAGUCUCGCUUGUCCAGGACGACCGGUCUACUGCCUCCCCGUCCUGACGGGCGGCCACGAUGAAGCCGGACCCACCGGUCCCAGCACAGAAUGUGGCACGUGUCGGACAAGGAUUUUUGAACUGAGUUUAGAACAGGGAUUCUGUUUUUCUGCUCAGGUUUUAAGUGGGCUAAGCACUUAGUUCUCAGAUGAUUUCUAGGUUGCUGGUAACGCACUGUAAGUGUCAGGGAGAAGAGACUUGGCUGGCAGCCCUUUCUCAGAUGUUCCAAGCAAACAUGCAAACGGUUCUCAAACCUUAGCCUGGUCUCAAUGCCUGUCUUCCCUGAAAGCUGUUUUCGCUUUAUAACCACAGGACGUUUCAAAUCAAAUUCCAGAAAAUGCCUCGCAAUUAAAAUUUUACACUGCCUGUCGCUACGUGCCAGCUUUGCUACUGCUUUUCGUCACUGCCCAUUAUAAAUAAUGACCCUGGCGUGCGUUUUGUUACUAGAGCCAUUAACCCAACAAACCGUUCUGCUCACAU